rnacentral:rRNA from 1 species
UAACGCGAAGAACCUUACCUAGGCUUGACAUGCACGGAAAUCUCGUAGAGAUACGGGGUGCCUUUGGCGUCGUGCACAGGUGGUGCAUGGUUGUCGUCAGCUCGUGUCGUGAGAUGUUGGGUUAAGUCCCGCAACGAGCGCAACCCCUGUCGCAUGUUGCCAGCACGUGAUGGUGGGGACUCAUAGGAGACUGCCGGGGUCAACUCGGAGGAAGGUGGGGAUGACGUCAAAUCAUCAUGCCCCUUAUGUCUAGGGCUGCAAACAUGCUACAAUGGCCGGUACAAAGGGCUGCGAUACCGCGAGGUGGAGCGAAUCCCAAAAAGCCGGUCUCAGUUCGGAUUGGGGUCUGCAACUCGACCCCAUGAAGUUGGAGUCGCUAGUAAUCGCAGAUCAGCAACGCUGCGGUGAAUACGUUCCCGGGUCUUGUACACACCGA